UACGAAGGGGGCUAGCGUUGCUCGGAAUCACUGGGCGUAAAGGGCGCGUAGGCGGCCAUUCAAGUCGGAGGUGAAAGCCCAGGGCUCAACCCUGGAAUUGCCUUCGAUACUGUCUGGCUAGAGACCGGAAGAGGUAAGUGGAACUGCGAGUGUAGAGGUGAAAUUCGUAGAUAUUCGCAAGAACACCAGUGGCGAAGGCGGCUCUCUGGACCGGAUCUGACGCUGAGGCGCGAAAGCGUGGGGAGCAAACAGG
rnacentral:rRNA from 1 species